GUCAAAUAUAUUAAAAUUUACGAUGGAUACCUAGGCAUUUAGAGUCGAUGAAGGGCGUGGAUACCAACGAAAUGCUUCGGUUAGUUGGAAACAAACUUUGAUCCGAAGAUUCCCGAAUAGGAAAACCUAUAUAACUACUUAAUGAAUUCAUAAUUAAGUAAGAGACAACCUGCUGAAUUGAAACAUCUUAGUAAGCAGAGGAAAAGAAAGCAAACGCGAUUUCCUUAGUAGCGGCGAGCGAAACGGAAAUAGUCUAAUCAUUGAAAAAAAAAAACUAUUAAACGAAGCAGCUGAAUCCUGCACCAUAGAUGGUGAAAGUCCAGUAGUUUAAAAUAGAAAAAAAUGAUUAUAAAGUAGCAUGGAACACGUGAAAUUCCGUGUGAAUAUACGAGGACCACCUCGUAAGACUAAAUACUCCUAAAUGACCGAUAGUGAAACAGUACCGUGAGGGAAAGGUGAAAAAGAACCCCUGUAGGGGAGUGAAAAAGAACAUGAAAUCGUAAAUUGACAAUCAGUGGGAGCUAAAGUGACCGCGUGCCUGUUGAAGAAUGAGCCGGCGACUUAUAGGUAGUGGCCAGGUUAAAAUAACUUUUUGGAGCCAAAGCGAAAGCAAGUCUGAUAAGGGCGUAUGUCACUAUUUAUAGACCCGAACCCGAGUGAUCUAACCAUGGCCAGGAUGAAUCUUGGGUAACACCAAGUGGAAGACCGAACCGACUGAUGUUGAAAAAUCAGCGGAUGAGCUGUGGUUAGGGGUGAAAUUCCAGUCGAACUCGGAGCUAGCUGGAUCUCCUCGAAAUGUGUUGAGGCGCAGCGGUUGAUGACGGGCUAUUUAGGGGUAAAGCACUGUUUCGGUGCGGGCUGCGAAAGCGGUACCAAAUCGUGGCAAACUAAGAAUACUAAAUAUGCUUUCCAUCAACCAGUAAGACAGUGGGGGAUAAGCUUCAUUGUCAAAAGGGAAACAGCCCAGAUCACCAGUUAAGGCCCCAAAGUGAUGGCUAAGUGAUAAAGGAAGUAAAAAGGCAAAGACAACCAGAAGGUUUGCUUAGAAGCAGCCAUCCUUGAAAGAGUGCGUAAUAGCUCACUGGUAGAGCCUUUUUGCGCCGAAAAUGAACGGGGCUAAGUCAUCCGCCGAAACUGUGGGUUACAGUUAAAAUACUGUUACGGUAGAGGAGCGUUCCGUUAUAGGGUGAAGUUAAAAUGUGAAUUUUAAUGGACGAAACGGAAGUGAGAAUGUCGGCUUGAGUAACGAAAACAUUGGUGAGAAUCCAAUGCCCCGAAAACCUAAGGGUUCCUUCACAAGGUUCGUCCAUGGAGGGUUAGUCAGGACCUAAGGCGAGAUCGAAAGGUGUAGUCGAUGGAAAACAGGUUAAUAUUCCUGUACUUGAUUAGGUUUGGUAAAGAGGGACGGAGAAGGCGGUAACUAGCUAGAUAUUGGUAUUCUAGUAGAAGUAUUGAAUUCUUAAAACAAUGAAAAAAAACUUUGUUUAGAAAACAUGCGACCUGACUGGAACUUUAUUAUAUAAAGUUUCGGUUUAGUUUUAGUCAUACUUCCAAGAAAAGCUCUUAUUACCAUUAAAUUUAAUCAACCUGUACCCUAAACUGACACAAGUAGGUAGGUAGAGAAUACUAAGGGGCGCGAGAUAACUCUCUCUAAGGAACUCGGCAAAAUGGCCCCGUAACUUCGGGAGAAGGGGUGCCUAUAUUAUAUAGGCCGCAGUGACCAGGCCCAGGCGACUGUUUAUCAAAAACACAGGUCUCCGCAAAGUCGUAAGACAAUGUAUGGGGGCUGACGUCUGCCCAGUGCCGGAAGGUAAAAGAAGUUGGUUAUUCCUCGGAAAAAGCUGACGACUGAAGCCCCGGUGAACGGCGGCUGUAACUCUGACAGUCCUAAGGUAGCGAAAUUCCUUGUCGAGUAAGUUUCGACCCGCACGAAAGACGUAACGAUCUGGGCACUGUCUCGGAGAGAGACUCGGUGAAAUAGAAAUGUCUGUGAAGAUGCGGACUACUUAUACCAGGACAGAAAGACCCUAUGAAGCUUGACUGUAAUUUGGAAUUGGAUUCGGGCUUUUUUUGCGCAGUCUAGGUGGGAGGCGUUGAUAUUAAGUUUUCGGACUUAAUUGAGCCAUCAGUGAGAGACCACUCUAAAAGAGCUAGAAUUCUAAUAGGAUUCCUUGAAUCAGGAUCCUUGACAGUUUCAGAUGGACAGUUUGACUGGGGCGGUGACCUCCCAAAAGGUAACGGAGGUGUGCAAAGGUUCCCUCAAGCUGGACGGAAAUCAGCUGUAGAGUGCAAAGGUAUAAGGGAGCUUGACUGCAAGACCAACAAGUCGAGCAGAGGCGAAAGCCGGCCUUAGUGAUCCGACGGUUCCGAGUGGAAGGGCCGUCGCUCAACGGAUAAAAGUUACUCUAGGGAUAACAGGCUGAUCUCCCCCAAGAGUUCACAUCGACGGGGAGGUUUGGCACCUCGAUGUCGUUUCAUCGCAACCUGGGGCUGGAGUAGGUCCCAAGGGUUGGGCUGUUCGCCCAUAAAAGCGGUACGUGAGAUGGGUUCAGAACGUCGCGAGACAGUUCGGUCCAUAUCCGGUAUAAGCGCAAGAGCAUUGAGAGGAUCUCAACAUUGUACGAGAGGACCCGAAGGGACGUACCGAUGGUGUACCAGUUCUUAUGCCAAUAGGAAACGCUGGGUAGCUAUGUACGGAGUGGAUAAUCGCUGAAAGCAUUUAAGUGAGAAGCCCACCUCAAGAUGAAUGCUCUCUAUUAGAUCGCGGCAAGACAAGCCGAUAGAUUGGCAUCAAGUGUAAGAUUAGUAAUAAUUUCAGCUGAGAUGUACAAAGGAUCGAUUGAUUUUGAC
rnacentral:rRNA from 1 species